rnacentral:rRNA from 1 species
GAUGAACGCUGGCGGCGUGCCUAAUACAUGCAAGUCGAGCGAACAGACGAGGAGCUUGCUCCUCUGACGUUAGCGGCGGACGGGUGAGUAACACGUGGAUAACCUCCCUAUAAGACUGGGAUAACUUCGGGAAACCGGAGCUAAUACCGGAUAAUAUAUUGAACCGCAUGGUUCAAUAGUGAAAGACGGUUUUGCUGUCACUUAUAGAUGGAUCCGCGCCGCAUUAGCUAGUUGGUAAGGUAACGGCUUACCAAGGCAACGAUGCGUAGCCGACCUGAGAGGGUGAUCGGCCACACUGGAACUGAGACACGGUCCAGACUCCUACGGGAGGCAGCAGUAGGGAAUCUUCCGCAAAGGGCGAAAGCCUGACGGAGCAACGCCGCGUGAGUGAUGAAGGUCUUCGGAUCGUAAAACUCUGUUAUUAGGGAAGAACAAAUGUGUAAGUAACUAUGCACGUCUUGACGGUACCUAAUCAGAAAGCAACGGCUAACUACGUG